ACCCGCACAAGCGGUGGAUGAUGUGGAUUAAUUCGAUGCAACGCGAAAACCUUACCUACCCUUGACAUGUCUGGAACCUUGCUGAGAGGCGAGGGUGCCUUCGGGAGCCAGAACACAGGUGCUGCAUGGCUGUCGUCAGCUCGUGUCGUGAGAUGUUGGGUUAAGUCCCGCAACGAGCGCAACCCUUGUCAUUAGUUGCCAUCAUUUAGUUGGGCACUCUAAUGAGACUGCCGGUGACAAACCGGAGGAAGGUGGGGAUGACGUCAAGUCCUCAUGGCCCUUAUGGGUAGGGCUUCACACGUCAUACAAUGGUCGGUACAGAGGGUUGCCAAGCCGCGAGGUGGAGCCAAUCCCUUAAAGCCGAUCGUAGUCCGGAUCGUAGUCUGCAACUCGACUACGUGAAGUCGGAAUCGCUAGUAAUCGCGGAUCAGCAUGCCGCGGUCGAAUACGUUCCCGGGCCUU
rnacentral:rRNA from 1 species